GGGGUGACUAGUGACAGAGUUAGGGAGGGAAAGGGGUGACUAGUGACAGAGGGAGGGGUGACUAGGGACCAAGUGAGGGAGGUGGUGACUAGUGACAGUCACCCCCUCCCUCACUAGUCACUCCCUCCCUCCCUCUGUCACUGGUCACCCACUCCCUCCCUCACUCUGUCACCAGUCAUCCCCUCACUCUGUCACUAGUAACCUCUUCCUUCCCUCACUCUGUCACUAGUCACCCCC